AGCUUUUACCCGACUUUGUUUCUUCUUACAAUAGCAACAAAAAACCCAAAUAAAAAUAAAAAGCUCAUCUUACAUUUAAUGUUUCUUUUACUAGGCACAUUAGUUAAUGCCUUCAGUAUAUUGCUUUUACUCAGCUUUCUAGAAUAUUAAUUUAUACCAAUAAAGGAAAUAGUAAUGAUACUGAAAAUAGAAGAUAAAAAUUUUUUAUAUGCAUACUAUAUAGUAAAAAACCACACAAACAGAAAAGUAUUAUUUAAAUACUAUAGAAAAAACGAUGGGAAAAGUAUAAUUUGAAAAUCUAUUGUUGGCUGUAAAUAAUAAAAAUUAUAACUAUUUAAAGAAAGCAGAUGAUUUGCAUUGUAUUUUUGAUUACCCUUAUCAUAAAAUGAUAUUGAAAAGAGAUUAAAAGUUUUAGGUGAAUCCCUUACUUGUUUGCUUUUCAUCAUCUUGUGUUUAGUGAAAAAGAUAAAAUUGAUGAGGAAGAAAAGGAAAACAGACUUUUUUGAUCCAGAAGCCUGUGCUUUGUUAAAUAUCUAAAAUGUGAGCUCUAUUAUUCCUUUAUUGUAUUACUGUAGAACACAAAUAGUCAUAUUCAAACCUAUCUAUAGGUAGCUUUUUCUAUUCAGGUUGCUGAAAACCAGACUGAGAAUUUAUCUAAAUUCUGUUAAUUAUUUUUCAUAGAAUCAUAGAAUAUCCUUAGUUGCAAGGGACCACAAGGAUCAUCAAAUCCAAGUCCUGACACUGCACAAGACACCCCAAGAAUCACACCAUGUUCCUGAGCGUGUUGUCCAAAUGCUUCUUGAACUCUGUCAGGCUUGGUGCUGUGACCACUUCCCUGGGGAGCCUGUUCCAGCAAUCAGCCAUCCUCUGGGUGAAGAACCUCUUCCUAUUAUCCAGCCUGAAGCUUUCCUGAAACGGCUUCAUUCCAUUCCCUCAAGUCCUGUCACUGGUCAUCACAGAGAAGAGAUCAGUGUCUGCCCCUCCUCUUCCCCUCACAAGGAAGUUGUAGACUGCAGUCUCUUCUUCAGGCUGAACAAGCCAAGUGACCUCAGCCAUUCCUUACAUGGCUUCCCCUCUAGACCCUUCCCCAUCUUCAUAGCCCUCCUUUGGACAUUCUCUAAUAGCUUUAUAACCUUCUUAUAUUUCAGUGCCCAAAACUGCAUACAAUACUCAAGGUGAGCAGAGUAGAGUGGACAAUUACCUCAAUCAGGAUGCUGUGCCUGAUGCACCCCAGGACACAGUUGUCUCUUUUGGCUGCCAGGGCACACUGGUGACUGAUAUUUGUUUUUGGUUAAGUAUUGUCCGAAAAACAAUUAUUUCGCAGACUAGAGUCAGGUUCCUUGAUUAAAACUACUGCUGCAGGGCCAUAGGUUUAAAAAUACACAGUACAAUUACUUUCAUACACAAUGAGAUAGCUAAAACUUUAAUAGUUUGUUGUAUCUUUUCAAAUCUAAAGAAAUGGCUUUAUACAACAAUUGCAUUGAAUAAAGACCACACACUAACAAAUGAAACGGAACACACUAUACAUGCUUAAUUUUGUAAAGUUUACAAAGAUUAUUUUUAAAACAUCCGUAGGCUCACAGUCAGUUUUAUUGUGCAUCUGAUGAUAUAGUCAUCUCUUGGAAUAGUUUGUUUGAUUAUCUAAUCAAUUUCAGAAUUAUACUGCAUGGAUUUGACAUGUUUGUUUUAUGCAUUCAUAGCUGUUAUCAAGAACUUUAAUGGCUUACUAACCCCCACCUGUGAAUAAAGCUUUUUCUUUUGUUAAACUGGAAGGAUGUGGCAGAAUAGAAGCAAGAAGGGUUUUUACACCUCCUCUUGUCAGUCUGAAUGAUUCACUAGUCAUGGUAGGCUCUAUGCUCUAUAUCAAUACAAUUAAAUAAUCAGUACCUGUAAGUUAAAUCACUUCUCACACCCACUAGUAAAAAUAUGACAUUAAAGCUAUUCCCACUAUAGUUUUUUCUCUUUUCAUUGAAAGUAGCUGCAUAUAGUUUAGAGACUACAGCUACAAGACAUAAAAAGUUAUGUAAAACUUCUUUUCUGUAGGUAAUAAACUAAACAGAAGAAAAGAUACAUUUCUGUAGAAGUGCGGUACGUAAUUUUUAUACGGACAAGACACUGAGAGAUGGUAAAGUAUCUUUUGUUCAUUAAUUGUAGGCCUUGUAAAUGUCAUUAGGAUCCUAGACAAACAGUAUUUUUGACUUGAGAAUUAACUGGGAUGCAGUAGUUAUAAAAUGAACAGAUAAAACAUUUUUUUUAAAAAGUGAAGUAUUGGUUUAGAACUUAAACUCAUUCAGUAGGAAGAAAGUGCUUAUUUUUACUAUGAGUUACGUGGCUAAAUCUAAUAACCUGCAUUGGGUCUUGGCAGCUUAAAAGUUCUGCUAAUUCCAUGUAAAACCUAUGGUCCCUGUAUUAGAUUUCCAUUAGAAACACAGGUUCGCAGAGUUUUUUAUCUAAAAUGAAGUUGUUUCUAAUGUGGUUGCUAUAAUGUAAAAAAUAUCAUUAUGAUUAAUAAGAUUUAGUGUCUCUGGACUUGUGACUUUCUUAAUCUACUCUCAGCUAUAUUCAGGCACCAUGAGAAGUUCAGCUCAUUGUCUUUUUAAUUCGAUUUUAAUAGUGGCUUAAAGAAACAGUGAGAAAACAAUAAGGUUAAUCUCUUUAGGUUUAUAUUCUACAAUGAUUUCUGCUCUAGUGGUUGCUCUAGCUCCCCAACCUUGGGCUGUCUACAUCUUAGAAAUGCAGAUAAAAGAUAACUCCUAUCUUUUGUUGUGCUUGAGUAGUGACUACCUAAAAAAUGUAGUUGAGCCCUUUUUGGCACCAUUGGCACUGGCUUACAAAAUUAAGCAUUUCAGGGAAGCUCUAGGCAUGAAAUUUAGAUGCUCAGUCUAGACAGAUAGUACAAUCAAGCAUUAGUAUUUUGACACUGCAAGUGGCAUUCAACAUGCAUGAAAUAUAUAUUGUACAUUGUCUUUUGGUGACUUAUGUUGUCAUUUUAAUGUAGGGAUGGUAAUGAAAACUUUGAAUUGAUGCACCUGACCAUUAGUGAGGAAAAGCUAGAAGAGGAAGAACUUCAAGGGGUUUUUUUGUGGGUUUUCUGUAGGAAGGUUUCAUUUUGCCUUAUAAAGUAUUGUAUAUAGCCCUGACACUCUAGAACCUUUUUAGUAUGAGAAAAUAUUUAAGUCUUCUUUAGGGAAACAAUUAAGUUUUCAGCUUUUAGACUUUCUGUCCUUUUGGCAUGUUUAGACUGAGCACAAAUGUCUAAUUAAAGAUGAGUUUCUGGCUCAUAUUGCAGUUUCUCAGGCAGGGAAAAUGUUAUAUGAAGAAGUUACAGGGCAAAGCAAGAAAUUUUGAGGAAUACAUCUUGACAAACUUAUUUUGUUGGCUUGCAGUGAAAUGGACUGCAGACUUCAUGUCCUGAAGUCCGAAAAUAAAUGUAAUAAUUUAGCGCAGUUACCUAUGAAACUUGAGGAAUACAGUAUUUGAUAGUAUAAUGCAAUGCCAUUUUAGAAUGCAAAUAUGUCUUCAUUAUUGAUAGAGUCGUAGGAAUAGGAGUGACCACACUGGAGGUUUUUGGGACAGACAGCAUUGUUAGUAUUGAUGCAUUAUAGGAGGUGUACUUGGGCUGCAGGAAGCUUUUUUUCUUUUUUGGAUGGACACCUAAAGCAAAAGCAGAAGUUUGUGCUGAUAUUAAAACUGGCAUUUUUAUUAAGAGUUUACAGCUAAUCUUAAAUGCAUAGGCAGAGUUAUUUUAUCUACUAGAUUACUGCUGGAGAAUGUCUCAGAGUAGCCAGAUAGUGCAGCACUCAUUAGUCCAAGACUGCAAAGAGCCCCUCCUGCCCUGAUCCCUCACAUUUUCUGAAGCACAAUUCUGUUAUGUGUAUUCUAGCAAGGUACAGGAGCCAACUACCUGCAUUCAUAAUGCUUUCUGAGACUCUUUUAGGGACCAAAUCACUCAUAUGCAUGCUGAAGGUCUUUAAUAUGCCCUGAGUCCUGUGACAUACCAUGGAAAUACGGGUAUGCUGAAGUGACCUUUGUUCCCCUAUAAAUGUGGUGUUGUUCCAUAGUGGAGUUCAGUGCAGGGAUGGUAGAAAGGACCAGAGAAGAGGAAAAUGCACAGAAUUUUCGUUCAUGUCUAUCACUAAAGAUAUCUGGUGGUAUUUCAGAGUUCUCUCAGCUGAGUUUAUAACCUGUGCUUCUAGACUGGCAGGGAGAUUCACAGGUGUUUUAUGUCAGCUGCUAUGGACUGACCAUACAAAUUGGGAUAAAAUGGCUUGUGAUGAGCAGACUCAUGCCAAAAUGAGGGAUGGCCUGUGAUGCCACAGAUAAGGCUGAUUCCCACAGCUGAAAGCUGCUUCUGCCUUUUUUUUUUUCCCCUUUUCUUUUGCUUUUCCCAAAAUUGAUGCUGAUGCUCAGCUACCCUUUGACACACCCUGGGAGAAGGCAGGAAAAAGAGAUAUGCCUGGUUUGUCAGCUAUUAUCUUGCAGAGUGGCUUAACAGCCCCCUGCAACUGAAGAUGGAGCCCCGAGCGGCAGCAGUGCAUGGCAUGGAGCGUGCCCAGGGCGGAGUGGAGAGGAGAAGCACAGCCAGCACAGCUACCACAGCCACUCAAAUUUGUAACUCAGAGAGAGAUAGAGAGAGAAGCCAUGCUGAGCAGGUUUAUUCUGAGUGGGACUCUGGUGAAAACUAUCAGGGUAUAAAGACUGAGAUGAACCCCAGAACCUGUGACCGGGGGAGGUAUGGACCCGACUUGGAGGGGUCCCCCGAGAAUUUAUUCCCCUGGGAGGGACCCCACGUAGCAGGGAAAAGACUCAGAGCUUUAACUCUCCGUGAUAUGUGGUGAAGAUCAUGGUGAAGGGAGUUGUCCCCUCACAGCCCAUGAAAGACCAUUGGGGGGGUGCAGAGACCCCCCGCACCCUGAUGAAGAGAGACUUUAGCUAUUGCCCUGAGACUUUUUCCUCCUUCAUUGAUGCAGGGGGCCAAGGGGUGGUUAAAAGUGUGUUUAAUACUGUGUAUUUUAUUACUUUUUAGUUUCUAUUCUGUUAGCAAUAAAUUUUAAUAUUAUUCCUCA